CACGUAGGCACCAAGCGUUGUCCGGAUUUAUUGGGCGUAAAGAGCGUGUAGGCGGUCAGGUAGGUCCGUUGUGAAAACUCGAGGCUCAACCUCGAGACGCCGAUGGAAACCAUCUGACUAGAGUCCGGAAGAGGAGAGUGGAAUUCCUGGUGUAGCGGUGAAAUGCGCAGAUAUCAGGAAGAACACCCGUGGCUAAGGCGGCUCUCUAGUACGGUACUGACGCUGAGACGCGAAAGCGUGGGGAGCGAACAGG
rnacentral:rRNA from 1 species